UUGGUUAGACUCAAGAGCAGGUUAAAUGGCAGGACAAGUUCAGAACAGACAGCAGAAAUCAGAAAUAAGUAUGCAGGUCAGGGAUCAAGAACCAGGGUAGUCAGAAAAUGACAGACAAGGAUCAGCAACAGAAGAGACAAUCCUGAAAUCGACACAUGGUAUACACCAAAUAGGAGCAAAUCACUUUACAAGUCUCAGCAACCUUUUAGGAAUAUUUUGCAUGAACCAGAACCUGUGCGGGCAUGUGUGCAUGGGUGGAACAGAGGAAACAGAACUUAAUCCUGGCUGCAUUAGUGGGUAACAACUUAUCUUUUAUUUCCAAAAGACAAACCAUUUCUUCUACAAUCCUAAGUGCAUCCAGCAAAGAAACUCUACAAGAUGACCCUGCAGAGUUGGAUUUGCCAUAACUGGUCACUCGACUUGAAGUCCUCUGUGUCCUGACCAUAUGGAAACUUUGUUCAUCAACAAAUGUUCAGCAAGCUGAAGAAGUCAAAUGUAAUCUUUUUUUGCGGUCAGCAGUCUUGCAAGGCUACACACAAAUACAAAAAGUUGUUGAAAAUGAGAUAAGAAUGGGUAAAAUCUUUCCUUUUAAAAAAUGUUUUAAGUCUGGUUUAAACUAAUUAAAACUCAGAUGGUUUACAUUCCCUUAUAGGCUUAAGGGACACAUUGUGCAUUUGUAGUUAAUGUAAAUAUAAAAGAAUUCUGUUUGUAUAAAAGCAGAUCACCGGCUGUGAUGUUGGGUUUGAAAAAAAAACACAAUAAAUAACAUUUAUACACAAAACAACACAAUACAUUAAAAGGAAAAAUACUGCAGAGUGCUAUACUUCAAGGCAAAAUUAAGUGCAAAUAGGUUACACGGCCAUAUAGCUUUGAAACUUUAUAAUGUUCAGAAAUCUAUUGGCCAGGCUUUACAGACUCCAUUACAAUCAAGAAUUAUAAAAUGUAUUUUUCUCUGUAAUAACUGUACCUUGUACG